rnacentral:rRNA from 1 species
UACGAAGGGGGCUAGCGUUGUUCGGAAUCACUGGGCGUAAAGGGCGCGUAGGCGGCCGUUCAAGUCGGGGGUGAAAGCCUGUGGCUCAACCACAGAAUGGCCUUCGAUACUGGACGGCUCGAGACCGGAAGAGGUCAGUGGAACUGCGAGUGUAGAGGUGAAAUUCGUAGAUAUUCGCAAGAACACCAGUGGCGAAGGCGGCUGACUGGUCCGGUUCUGACGCUGAGGCGCGAAAGCGUGGGGAGCAAACAGG